CCCCUGCGCCCUCUCGCAGCCGCCCGGGCCUGCUGCUGCAGGGCAGGCGGGCAAAGGCGGCCCUGUACCCAGCGGUGAGAGCCCAGAGCUGGGGCGAAGAAAGAGGGGAGGUGGGGAAGCGUCGCGGAACCUCCGGGACUAGAUACUCCGGAAGGGGGCUCCGCACGAGAGGGAAAGCCCCACUGAGACUUUAGGGAAACUUCAACUACGCGGCGAUUGCACCCUGGUGAUCCGCUCUAUAGCCUCCCGCAGAAGAGCCAGCCCCCUAGCUCUCCUGACGUUUAUUGUCCAGGGUCCUUAAGUCCAACCAGGCUGCGCUGUGAGAGCCCCGCGGGCUUUCUACUCGCUUGUCCCACCACUACGUCCUAGCCGUUUGCGCCUCUGGGGAAGGGCGCCCUCUCUGUUCAUCCCUGGAAAUGACCAGUUGUCCGACUGCCUUCUGGACCUAUAAGCUUUGGUUUAACAAACUUCAUCUCUUCUCGGGUGCCUUUUGGGAACUCUCCCCUCUAUGAAUGGCGACCAAACUUGGACCACCUGCGCCAGGUGAUGUGGCCAUCUACAAUGCGUGACCCAGGUCUGGUAGUAAAAGACCUCACUUAUGGAAGAUAUUUCGGCAGCUACAAUUUCAGCAAUUGAAGAACUAGGGGAACAUACACACACACACACACACACACACACACACACACACACACGGAUUAAGGGAAAGGGAAGAAUUGUUUAAAGUAAUAUAUGAGAAAUUUGUUUGAGUAUUGUUUAAUCCCCAGAGGCUGUCAAAUAGGUAUGUUUCCCAUGUGGAUUGUGCCUAAGGACAACGGCAACAUUACCAAUUAACAGAAAUUAACCUAAAUUCAAUUCACCUAUGGAGUCAGAACAUUAGAGUGAAUGGGAUUAUUUCAACCUGAACAACGCGAAAAAGCAAGAAUACAGUACUGGUAUUAUUACUACUGUUGGGGGUUCCUUGAGAAGUGAUAGCAUCAUAAAAAUUGCUUUAGAGUAAAACAUUGCUUGCUUCUUCAUCUAGCUCAGCACUAAAUUAUAUGCUAGGUGUUCUUUCUAAGUUCUAUGAAAGACUUAUGGUGAAAUGUUGUAUAUAAUUGACUUUAUUAUCAAAGGAUCACAAUAUUGGAAGUGAGAUGGUCAUUGGACUUUGAGAUGUGGGUGGCAUCCUGAGGAUCCCUUCUGCCACCACCUUGGAUAAGUCAAAAUAUUCCUAAGCACAAAAAAACUUUGUUCUCAUUUUAUCCUGGAUCCAAACAAACAAAAAACUGGAGAUGUGGGACAAAUCUGAGCCCUUUCAGACACCCACAAAACAGAUGCUUUUUUAAAAAGGCAAGAAAAUGCUAGGACACAUUAUAUUUUGUCUGGUUUGGCUUGCUCAUUAUUUGAUAACUGCACCUUAAAUUGUGAUCUGCCAAUAGAUCAUGAUACCAGGAGCCUAAGAGCAUAAUGUAGUGAACUUUCUGGGUCUGCUUCCUCAAAAGUAAAUGGAACUUAAUUCCUCCCUAUUUCCUAGAAUUUUGACCAGGAUCAAAAAGGGAAGUGUAUGAGAGAGCAUUGUUAAACCAUACACAUUACAACAAUGGCAGGGAUUUACUCCCCACAUACUUAUUUUGUCUCAAAUUUAGUAAGCAACAUCCUCUGCAAGUUGUAAAGCUCUCAUUUGCAAAAAAAAAAUAAAAAUAAAAAUAAAAAA
rnacentral:lncRNA from 1 species